rnacentral:rRNA from 1 species
GACGAACGCUGGCGGCGUGCCUAAUACAUGCAAGUCGAACGCACUCUCGUUUAGAUUGAAGGAGCUUGCUCCUGAUUGAUAAACAUUUGAGUGAGUGGCGGACGGGUGAGUAACACGUGGGUAACCUGCCCUAAAGUGGGGGAUAACAUUUGGAAACAGAUGCUAAUACCGCAUAAAACCUAACACCGCAUGGUGUAGGGUUGAAAGAUGGUUUCGGCUAUCACUUUAGGAUGGACCCGCGGUGCAUUAGUUAGUUGGUGAGGUAAAGGCUCACCAAGACCGUGAUGCAUAGCCGACCUGAGAGGGUAAUCGGCCACACUGGGACUGAGACACGGCCCAGACUCCUACGGAGGCAGCAGUAGGGAAUCUUCCACAAUGGACGAAAGUCUGAUGGAGCAACGCCGCGUGAGUGAAGAAGGUUUUCGGAUCGUAAACUCUGUUGUUGGAGAAGAAUGUAUCUGAUAGUAACUGAUCAGGUAGUGACGGUAUCCAACCAG